AGCUUUGUACCGUGGCAGUCUCAUAACCAAUGAGGUUUAUUCGAGGUGUGAUUACUGCUAAUUAAAAACUUUUUCCCAUACCCCAUCAUCAUGACUUGAAAUAUAGCUGGCAUAGGCAAUUUUUGACAGUCUCUAUGGAGA
ensembl:snRNA U4 U4 spliceosomal RNA